AAAGGUUUGGUCCUGGCCUUAUAAUUAAUUAGAGGCAAAAUUACACAUGCAAAUCUCCAUUCCCCGGUGUCAAAUCCCUAAAUCUUUUACUAAGCCCAAGGAGACGGUAUCAAGCACACAAACAAGUAGCUAAAGACACCUUGCCUAGCCACACCCCCACGGGACCCAGCAGUGAUAAAAAUUAAGCAAUAAACGAAAGUUUGACUAAGUUAUGCCUCACUAAGGGUUGGUAAAUUUCGUGCCAGCCACCGCGGUCAUACGAUUAACCCAAACUAAUUAUUCUCGGCGUAAAAUGUGUUAUAUAAAUCUAAAUGAAUAGAAUUGAAACCCAAUUAAUAUGUGAAAAUUCAUACUUGGACCUAAACUCAAUGACGAAAGUAAUUCUAGACUACAUAUACACGAUAGCUAAGACCCAAACUGGGAUUAGAUACCCCACUAUGCUUAGCCCUAAACCUAAGUAAUUAAACAACAAAACUAUUUGCCUGAGAACUACUGGCCACAGCUUAAAACUCAAAGGACUUGGCGGUACUUUAUAUCCAUCUAGAGGAGCCUGUUCUAUAAUCGAUACACCCCGUUAUACCUCACCACCCCUUGCUAAUCCAGCCUAUAUACCGCCAUCUUCAGCAAACCUUAAAAAAGAAUAAAAGUAAGCAAGAGAAUACCCGUAAAAACGUUAGGUCAAGGUGUAGCUCAUGAGGUGGGAAGAAAUGGGCUACAUUUUCUUAUCAAGAACAUUACGUUACCCUUCAUGAAAUGGAAGGACAAAGGAGGAUUUAGUAGUAAAUUAAGAAUAGAGAGCUUAAUUGAAUAGAGCAAUGAAGUACGUACACACCGCCCGUCACCCUCUUCAAACUGAAUUAAACUUGUAAUUAUACAUAAUACCAACAACAAAUUCACAAGAAGAGAUAAGUCGUAACAAGGUAAGCAUACUGGAAAGUGUGCUUGGACUAA
rnacentral:ncRNA from 1 species